GUCAAUGUGGUGUAGUGGGUUGAGUGUUGGACUAUGAUUCUGGAGACCAGGGUUCGAUUCCUUGCUUGGCCA